ensembl:ncRNA D1007.22 ncRNA
GACUAAUGCAUUACAUAGGGGCACACACGCAGCGACACAGAGAAACAAGUGAUUUUGGUUAAAUUCGCACAGCCGAAACGAGUGUUACCGUACUCUUGCUGCGUAGCGCCCCUAUCUUUUGCAUUAGAGGAGUUUUGAAGAGAGGA